rnacentral:sRNA from 1 species
GCUGCCAGGGUCAAAAGGUCAUGGACCGAUCAUGCUUGCAUGAAUCGGGACAUGAUGUUUUGACCCGCCCGAACAUGAGCAACCAGCGAUUUUCCUGAUAAGAUCAGGAAAAUCAGCGGAUUGCGAAUGGUCGGAGGAUUGUGGCAU